UGUUGAGUAGUUUAUUUAAAAAUGUAAAUUUUGUAAAUUUAAGAAGAAAUAU
rnacentral:tRNA from 1 species